rnacentral:rRNA from 1 species
CGGGACGGGUGAGUAAUGUCUGGGAAACUGCCUGAUGAGGGGGAUAACUACUGGAAACGGUAGCUAAUACCGCAUAACGUCGCAAGACCAAAGAGGGGGACCUUCGGGCCUCUUGCCAUCGGAUGUGCCCAGAUGGGAUUAGCUGGUAGGUGGGGUAACGGCUCACCUAGGCGACGAUCCCUAGCUGGUCUGAGAGGAUGACCAGCCACACUGGAACUGAGACACGGUCCAG